AAGCACCCUUCUGGUAAGCUCUGGAAACACCUAGGUCGUUUCCUGACUUGUAAUAGGAAAUUCCCCUCAACCUUUCAGAACUGAAUCCAGUACUAAGGCUGCCUUCUCUCCUACAAAAAAUAAAAAGCAGAGGAAAAGGAAACAAAGGUCCAACUCUAAAACCCUGGCUGCAAGAUCCUGCCUUUGUCCUCUCUUUAUGUCCUCCGCAAUACCUCCAGAUGACUUCCCUCCCUUAUUACUUCCAAGAUCUCUUAGGAUAUCACUUAUCGCGGUGGCACGUGCUCUUUUAAUCUAAUGAAAUACUCAUGCAGCUUAUUGCUAUUGAUCCAGCAUUUAAUAGCAUUGAAGAGUUUAGAAUCACCUGCAGACAUGAGGGAACACUGGGACUCCCUCUACCUGAUCUUGGAUAAUCAGACUAAACACGUGAUUCCCUACACUUCACAGUGUUUAUACCACCAGCAGACUCCCGAUGCAUCAGGCACUAAAGCAAACUCUCCCAAGGAUGACCUGCUUCAUACAGCUGCAGUUGGAUGAAGAUUAUGAAUGUUUUCUUUCAAGAGUAUCUCUAUGAAACUUUUCCCUCCCCUGUUUCUCUAUAAAAUUCUCUGAUACUUCAUCGUAUGUAUGGGGCUAUAUGUCUGAGAGAAAUAUUUUCCAUUCAGUAGCAAAUUAUCCUUCAAAACGAUACUUAAGAGUUUUAUAAUACAUGCUCCCAAGAGAGAUGGUAAAAGUAGUUCCAUUUACAUCCUUGUCCACCAUGGUCUAACAAUUCAGCCUGUUGGAUUGAGCACUCACACAUGUUCUCUCUCUCUGUUUCCGUAUUGUUCUGUUCUUCUCGCUGUCUCUGUCUCUUUUUCUUUCUCCCCCAUCCAUACACACAGACAAACAAACAUUCUCUCUCUCUCUCUCUUUCUGCCCCCUCUAUUUUUAUUUCAUCGAAAUACAUUCACUAACCAACAAGCCAGACAGAUUUAAUCUUAAAUUUUCAAACAGCUGAGGAAAAACAGGUUAACUAAGACCAUCCCAGAUUCAGACCGAUUUUCAGAAUCUGCUUAGAACAUUUGCAUUUGAAAACAUGAUAUCCAAGUGUAAAAAAAAUUAGCCAAUAAGCUGGCUUACUGGUCACAUGAUUUGAGUCAUCCAAGUCCCACAGAAUA